rnacentral:tRNA from 1 species
UGCGGGGUGUAGCAGUUGGUAGCUCGUCGGGCUCAUAACCCGAAGGUCACAGGUUCGAGUCCUGUACCCGCUACUA